ACCUAAAUAAAAUUUAAAACUAAAAUCUCUGAGAAAAAUAUCUCAAAACAGAGAAACUCUUGUUACUCUCUUCUUCCUAAGAUGGCUUUCUCAUCUUUGCAGAUUUCUCUUCCAUUCAGCAGCUUCUCGUUGCUUUCGACAACAUUCUUGUCGCCUCUGUCUAGAAGCAACUUACACAUUUCUAGCAGCUCGCUCCUCUCGACAGCUUCGCCUUUUACUUUUCUAGGGUUUUACAUGUCUCUAUUUCCAUCUCAGUUGUUGCACCUUCAAUAUUGGAAGAAGAUUUUGUCAUCCAAGGUUGCACAAAAGCUGUUUAUAAUUGUCGAUUAACUGGACGGAACCAACGCCUAUUGCGAAUGAACAUUGCAGAAUCCAAUCUUUCUUCUAAAAUUCCAGAUAUAGAGCUCAAGAAUUCUUAAGAGGAAUAAUGAUUUUAACAACAAUUAUAGUAAGGAUGAGAUGAAGGUUGCAAUGCGGAUGUAUUAUGAGAUCAUGGAUGAGUGAUGAAGAGAAGAGUUUAUGACCUUGUGUCUCAAGGGAACACAUGUUAAGACCUUAGGUUAUACUUCUAAUCGUGAUGAAUUUCACUCUCAAGCACCAUACAAGUUAGCUUUGUUUGAUAUAACUCUACUUUGUUAGUUGAAAAAUGAUUAUGUACAUUGUUCAAGCUUUGGGAGAUAUGUAAUUUUUGUUCUACUUGUUAAUCUAAUGUUAUCAUUAUAUAAAAUUAGGUUCUUCUUAUGCUAA